rnacentral:tRNA from 1 species
CCAGGUAGCGGGCCUCCAGCGGCGUGGCCCGGCGCAGGAGGUCGGCCAGGGAGGAGAUUUUCUGGGUCUGGGCUCCCUUCCCGGCCGCCUGGGC